GUGAGUGCAGCUCAAUGGUAGAGCACUUGCCUGGCAUGGGCAAGGCCCUGGGUUUGACCCCAGCAUUUCCU
rnacentral:tRNA from 1 species